rnacentral:lncRNA from 1 species
CUUCUCAUGAAUUAUACUUAUUUAUUUCUGGGCUUCCCAGGUGUCACUAAUGGUAAAGAACCCACUUGCCAAUUCAGGAGACAUAAGAGGUGCAUCUUAAUCCCUGGGUCAGGAAGAUUCCCUGGAGGAGGAUUUGACACCCAACUGCAGAACUUCCCUGGAAAAUCCCAGGGACAGAGGACCUUGGUGGGCUACAGUCCAUAGGGUCGCUAAGAGUCAAACACGACUGAAGCCGCUUAUCAUGCACACAUGCACGCAUGCAAGGUGCGUCCAUGGAAUACCCAUUACAGAGAUUCCCACAGCAAAGGGACCUCUUCCACUGGAGGAUCAAAUUGCAAAGACUUCUGUCAUUUUCUUAGGGUUUGCCUCCAUUCCUUCUAUCCGCAUGAGGACCCUAGCAAUAAAGGCAUAUGUCUAGCAGCAAUUCCCUUGAUAUCACUGCUUCAUGUAAAUAACUUGUUAUAAGGUGAGUGCGUGCUCAGUUGCUCAGUCAUGUCUAGCUCUUUGCAACCCCAUGCCCGCCAAGCUCCUCUGUCCAUGGGAUUGCCCAUGCAAAAAUACUGAAGUGGGUUGCCAUGCCCUCCUCCAGGGAAUCUCCCUGACCUAAGGAUCCAACCCAUGUCUCCUGAGGCUCCUUCAUUGCAAGUGAAUUCUCUACCACUGAGCCACCAGGGAAGCCCUGGUGUUACAAGGUAUAAGGCAAUAUUUAUAAACCCUAUCCGACACUCCUAUAAACCUAGUGACCAGACAUCUUUAGUGACAUCUGAUUUCUUGUAACCAAAUUGUUUGUACCAACAAAAUCAUUAUUGAUUGUUAGUCAUCAGAACUUCUGUAUCAACAAAAUAUUGACAAUCCCACUUAACUGCGAUGAAUGUGUUUCCUUACCUGUCCAUUUUAUUGGAGAGUAUCCUUCCAAAUCAUAACUCUGGAGAAAGAGCAAUGCUAAUUUUUAUUUUUAAAGUUCUCUUGUGUAUAUGACAGAAGAAAACACUCAGUGUCAUGAUGCUUCCCAGUAAGAUUUUUACACAGACUUCUGAACCUAUGGAUCAUCACUUAAAAAUAUUUUUUUAAUACUACUCAAUAUAUCACAAUAUUUUUAAAUAACACAUAAUAAAUUCACUCAAAACAAGUUGUGUUAGUCCUAACUAAUCACAAUAUUCCUCAGACAUUUUUAUCCAGACCUUUCGUACCUGCCACCUUCAGCACCUUUCAUCUUCCUUUAUGUCUUUUCUUUCUCUUUCUUUUUUCUUUCCUUCUUUCUCUUUUUUUCAUGUUUUCUUUCUUCUUUCUCCUUUUCUUUUUUUCUUCUGUCCUUCUUUCCCUCCUUCUCUCUUCUUUACCUCCUUCCUUCCUUCUUUUCUUGGGAACACAGUUUAUUAGGGUAAAUUAUCUUUUAAC